GUCUGCUCUGCUGCCUGCCACGGGGUCCACUGCCCAGAAGGCCACAGCCGCAGUGAUUUUUCUUCAUGGAUGGGAAGAUAUCGGGCACAGAUGGGCAGAGACUUUGCAGGUAUCAGAAGUUCACAUAUCAAAUGUAUCUGCCCACAUGUGCUAAUUAUGCCCAUGACAUUAAAUAUGAACAUGGCUAUAUCUUCUUGGUUUGAUGUUUUUGGGCUUUCACCAGAUUCCCAGGAGGAGGAACCUGGAAUUAAAUAGGCAGCAGAAAAUGUAAAACUUUUGGUAGAUCAAGAGGUGUAGAAUGGCAUUCUUUCUGACAAUUAUUUUGGGAGGAUUUUCUCAGGGAGGAGCUUUUAUUUUUAUGUACUGCUCUUACCACACAGCAGAAACUGGCAGGUGUCACCGCAUGUGACUGCUGGCUUUCACUUUGGCCUUCCUUUCCAAAGGGUCCUAUUAGUGGUACUAAUAGAGAUAUUUCUAUUCUCCAGUGCCAUGGAGAUUGUGACCCAUUAUUACCCCAAUGUCUGCUUUCCUUAUUUUUUUCUUAUUGUUUUAUAUUGGUAAAUCCAGCCAAUGUAAACUUUAAAACCUGUGAAAGCAUAAUGCACAUUUCAUGUCAACAGAA
rnacentral:lncRNA from 1 species